GAAGAUGAUGGUCUGAAUUUUUCAAACAAAGUAGUGAUCUUCGGAACAAAUUUGAUGUCAUUUAAUUAUUCUGGUGACUUCCCAAAUGAAUAUUCAUUAUGUGAUUCAGCCUCAGUGAUUAACGCAUCUAUUAUGGUUCAAGUACCUCCUUCUCCCAAUUGUUGGGAUGACGAUUGCAUGAUUUACAGUCGUCUGUUCCAUUUAGGCCAUUUCGUGUUCAAACUUCUCAGAGAACUCCCAAAUCUGGAGUGGCUUACCAUCUCUGACGACUUUGUUUUGGUUUGAUCUCCUUACAAAUUACAAAACAUCUAUUAGUGUGAUUUUAUAUAAUUAAUUUUAUGGCCUUUCUGAAUAUUUUGGUUGUGUUUGCCAGGCUCUCAGCAGAACAAGAUUACUACUUAAAUAUCUACCUUUUUUUCCUAAUUUGGUUGAACUAAAUUUGGACUCAAUCGACGGGUCCAUAGAUUUGUCCUACUCAGGAUUAUCGGCCAUGUUCCAUAACUCGCCCAAUCUCGAGGUUAUUAGAUUUGUGGUAAUAACUUCUUUCAGACUUGAAAAUUUAUUGCUGUUUACAAAACUUUUGAAAUUUUCAUUUUAGUAUGUGUUUAACAAUGCAGAGAGGGGUGUUUCUACCUAAAGAUGAUGCAACCUGCAUAUUGGAUUGCAUACCUAUGUGCUUUAGUACUGACCUUAAGUUAAUUGAGAUCUGUGACUUUGAUGGGGAAGAAGAAGAGUUAUUUGCAAUAAAAGUUUUGUUGCAAGCAGCAUCAGCAUUGAGUAAACUUAUUAUCCGGAGUUAUUCCUUUCAGUAUAAAGGUGAACAUAUUGAUAGAGGAGAGAGGUUAGAUAAGUUGCACCAGCAGAUCUUAAGGUAUCCGAGGAGGUCAAUGGAUUGCGAGAUAGAUGUUGAGCAUAUUGUAAUCGAGUGAAGAUGGAAAGAAUGGAGCCAAGAUAGUGAUUUGUUUGAAUUGUUGAGAUAUCAAACUUUAUGGAUUAUGUUUUGAUACAGCUAUAGAAUUUGCCGAUUGCCUUUCUGUUGUAGUUUUAGAAUUUACUCAUUGCCUUUCUAAUUUGUGUUUGUGAACAUUGAAACGCAACCACGAAUUUUGUUUAGCUCUAACUUAUUCUAUUGACAGAUAUAAGGUUGGAAGAAUUGCUUAAUUUCAUGUUAAAGUAGUUUUAUUACUGAUGUAUGGACAUUUUGUGGGAGGAACAAAUCUUCUCAAGUUGAUUUCCAAAUAACUAUAUCAUAUUUAAAUUCUUAUGUAAAAUACUAAUUUGAGAUAAUCUAUGUUUAUAUUGGUUGGUGUUAUAUUCCCUGAUAGUUCUUCAACGAAAAAUCUUUUCUCUGGUUUGCCAGCCUUGGAGGAGUUGACCCUAAUUCAUUGCAAUUUGAAGAAUGUCAAGGCGUUUUUUAUUUCUUCUCCCUUGCUUCAAAAAAUUAAAAUAGUAGAUAAGGAAGAUGAGGAAGAUGAUGGUCUGAAUUUUUCAAACAAAGUAGUGAUCUUCGGAACAAAUUUGAUGUCAUUUAAUUAUUCUGGUGACUUCCCAAAUGAAUAUUCAUUAUGUGAUUCAGCCUCAGUGAUUAACGCAUCUAUUAUGGUUCAAGUACCUCCUUCUCCCAAUUGUUGGGAUGACGAUUGCAUGAUUUACAGUCGUCUGUUCCAUUUAGGCCAUUUCGUGUUCAAACUUCUCAGAGAACUCCCAAAUCUGGAGUGGCUUACCAUCUCUGACGACUUUGUUUUGGUUUGAUCUC
rnacentral:lncRNA from 1 species